GAAUUCUGUGAGGCAGAUAAACAUCUCCUGCUGGAUGGCGGUUCAUGGAGUCACAUCCCGCUGGUGGAACAAAGGAACAAAUGGAAGAGAUUACCCAACUGUGACAGAGAUACUACUAUAGCUGCUGUUUCUCACUUUUGCUCACAUAGCACCUUGCAAAGCCAGUACAUCAGUAACCCUUUCUGCCCCGACAUGCCAUCUUUAGUAGUGUAUUGUGUACAUCAUCCCCAUCCCAGUUCAGCCUAUCCGGUGCAUGUUCACCAGAAUUAUGCCAAAGCAUAGCAGAGAGGAGUAGGUGUCAAACUACAGGUUAAGAAAAUAUCAUAUAUUAUGCAAAACUAUCGAGGAAAUUAAGGACUCUGGGUUACCCUAUGCCUCUUUAAACAAUGCGUCAGUAAUUUGCUGUAGCAUUACAUGUUCAUGCCUGGUAGGACAAGGAAGUACAGAGGCUGGCAGAUGACUCAGGAAGCAUUGCAACCAAAGUGGCACAGGUUCAGUAAGUCCAAGCUGGGAAGAGGCAAGAUAUUAAACCUUCAUGUGCUGUCUUUAUACUCACAAGGAAAUGUUUUGUAGGAGAAUAAAUUUAAGCAGGACCAAACAAAAGGACAAUGCCACAAAACGUAAAAAGAAGAAAACAAGAAACACAGAUGUAAAAUUGUUAAAAAUAAAAAAAACCUGAGAAAAUAAAAUAUUGAA